UACGGAGGAUCCGAGCGUUAUCCGGAUUUAUUGGGUUUAAAGGGUGCGUAGGCGGCCUAUUAAGUCAGGGGUGAAAGACGGUAGCUUAACUAUCGCAGUGCCUUUGAUACUGAUAGGCUUGAAUGUACUUGAGGUAGGCGGAAUGUGACAAGUAGCGGUGAAAUGCAUAGAUAUGUCACAGAACACCGACGGCGAAAGCAGCUGACUGGGAGUGAUCUGACGCUGAGACACGAAAGCCAGGGGAGCGAACGGG
rnacentral:rRNA from 1 species